UACGAAGGAGGCUAGCGUUGCUCGGAAUGACUGGGCGUAAAGGGCGCGUAGGCGGAUGACAUAGUCGGGCGUGAAAUUCCUGGGCUCAACCUGGGGACUGCGUUCGAGACGUGUUGUCUUGAGUUCGGAAGAGGGUCGUGGAAUUCCCAGUGUAGAGGUGAAAUUCGUAGAUAUUGGGAAGAACACCGGUGGCGAAGGCGGCGACCUGGUCCGAUACUGACGCUGAGGCGCGAAAGCGUGGGGGAGCAAACAGGAUUAGAUACCCUGGUAGUCCACGCUGUAAACGAUGUGCGCUGGAUGUUGGGUGACCUAGUCACUCAGUGUCGUAGCUAACGCGAUAAGCGCACCGCCUGGGGAGUACGGCCGCAAGGUUGAAACUCA
rnacentral:rRNA from 1 species